rnacentral:rRNA from 2 species
AAAUUGAAGAGUUUGAUCAUGGCUCAGAUUGAACGCUGGCGGCAGGCCUAACACAUGCAAGUCGAACGGUAACAGGAAGCAGCUUGCUGCUUCGCUGACGAGUGGCGGACGGGUGAGUAAUGUCUGGGAAACUGCCUGAUGGAGGGGGAUAACUACUGGAAACGGUAGCUAAUACCGCAUAAUGUCGCAAGACCAAAGAGGGGGACCUUCGGGCCUCUUGCCAUCGGAUGUGCCCAGAUGGGAUUAGCU